UCCCUGGUGGCUCAGACAGUAAAGCGUCUGCCUGCAAUGCAGGAGACCUGGGUUCGAUUCCGGGUCGGAAAG
rnacentral:tRNA from 1 species